CUUUUAUUUUAAAUAAAAAAUAUUAUUAUAUUCCCUAUUCUAAGCUAUAAAAGUAGUUACAAAAAAAUAUUUAAAAUUCAAACUUAUUUCGACGCUCUGUGACAGACAGACACAGUCUUCCAUCAGUUCAAGCGGAAGCAGAAGUAAGAAGCGCGUGAACCGAUCAUCGCUUGCUCAUCUAGUUAUGAAAAUCAUGAAUGAACAUUAUAAGAGCAAGAAAGGCGUCUACUGGAGAUAAUGCUUCAUUGAGAAAGCCAAACUGUGGACCACCUGUUGUGGGGUAAAAGUCACAAAGCCAUACGUACAGGUGAAGAUUGACAGUAAGGCAACUGUUGAUGUAGAGACUGGAGCGCAACAUUGGACUUUUUUAGGGGAGGAUGGAGACAUGAAGCCUGACAGCUUCAGCUGCUUCCAGAUGUCAUCUUUAUCUCCAGCUUCUGUUCAUGACUCGACAGUUUGCCAGCACACCUGUAGCAGAAGAGGGCAGGUGUUAUGAUCACACCAAGACAUCUGUACAAUCAGAAAGUCAUCAUCAAAAGUGAAGCGAGCGACAGACAGACCGUCAGAGAGUUUCAAGGACUUUUCAGAUGUGUGUAACCAAAGUCUACAAGAUCACACUGGAUAUGAAGCUUUAAAUCACCCAUUUCCUGGGCUGAUUUCACCACUGCCUAUUUGAUCACUUUUUGUGGCCUGGAUUGAGUCCCGCAAGCCUCUGAAGGGCGAAUGAAGUUAAGAAGAAUUCAGACUUAAUCAAUCCUGGUCUUGAUCGAUGAGAUCAGUGAUUCAAAGGCCCACAUGGAUUCUACACCUCGACUCUAGAGAAAACUCUACAGAAUAUCACCCGUCCUCUGCCCCUUUGACACUUUGCCUGGAGCAACCUGGAGUUAAGUGCUUUGCUCAAGGGCACAAUGGAGAUGGUUCAUGGCUCACCUCUUGCAGGGAUCAAACAGAAACUUUGAGGUAACCAGCCCCGAGCCUAAACCUUUACACCACAGUCUCAGAAGGGUUUCACUGGGUUUUGUUUCCUUGGUUGUUUUUAUUUUAGGAAACUCUGAGGUUUACUCUGGGAAGCAGAAGAGAGGUUUCAUCAUCAUCCUGGGAAAAGUUACGGGAAUCAAAAUCUCCGCUCUGGGAAGGAAACCUAGUCCUGACCCGCACGUUUCAUGAGUCAUUCUGCCUUGAUCAGUUAUUCCUGGCGUGAUGUAGGCAGUGUAAUAGGUGCACAGACACCAUGCUGACAUUUGCUGGCACCCAUCAAAGGGACAUCUUGUAAACCUGUCACAGUUCGAGGACGCAAAAUCUAUCUUUGCGCCACCACACAAUGGAGACUAAGGCAUCAAUUAAUCCUGAAAUAACCCAAACGGCGAGGCUCAAGCGGUGCAGAAGAAAAAUCGUAUUGGGAUUUGGAAAAGCAUGUGGGCGAAAAAUCUUAAAAGCAAAAAAAUCAGACCUUCAGUGGAAGCAAAACCAACCACAGAUCUACACGUCACGAUCAGAUCAGCUUUGGAUUAAGCAGGUGGCUCGUUCGUGAUUGUUGUGGGAUUUCAUGGGAGAUUGAAGACGCGCUAAACUUUCUUUGGGAACGUCUCUUGACUGUUUGAAGUCUGAAGUGCUUUCAGGACAUCCGAAGUGGACGACAGCAGCGAGAGCGUCUGAAGGCACAGUGACAGAUGGAGAAACAUCAGGCGUUUGUGUUCAUCGAGCACAGCCGUGCAUAGCGACCUGUUCAACAUCCUCUCAACUAUGGGCUCUUCCAGAACCUGCUCUCAGAGGAAAAGGAUUUAAAGGGCAACCAGUAAGGAAUCUGACUCCACAUAAUAUGGGCUCAGCAAGACCUCUGAUCACUAAAUGCCAAGCCGGCUCCUGUCACUGUGCUGUAUGACAGCUUAAUAAUGGCUUUCCCAG